CUCUCCUUCUCUCUUCUCCACUAUGCUAUAUAUAUAUAUAUAUAUAUAAGUAUUUUUGUUUCUGUUUUUCCUCCCUCGGGCGAUCCGGCCCUGUUCCACCCACGGUCCCUCCAGCAAUUCAUCCCGCUGGAGUUGCUCUAAGCUUUCCAGUUUCCAUUUACUCACCAGGAACUGUGCGAAACAAGUGUAUUCGGGUGGAUUUGACACAGCUCAUGCUGCGGCUAGGCGGUUGCUACUUUAGGGACUUAUGACAGCAUUAGAGAUGGGAAAGAAGGUGAUAUGUCAAGGUUAUCCAUCUCGUUUUGAUGGAGAGCGUAGAUUCGGUGUUGACACGGAUGGGUAUUAUGGAGGACCCUGUGCGCUCAGUGGUGACUUUGGCGAUAAAGAUGGAGCUCCUGCUGAUUUCAAGCCUUCUUUCGGGGAACAAAAUCUUUGAUCACUAGAAGCGGAGUUGAAUUAAAGACUGUUCUGUUCAGUGAUAUGUUCUGAUCCUAAACUCGAUUCACACCGUUUCAAUGAUAUUCUUAAUGAGGCAAUAACUGCAGGUGAUGAGAUUCACUAUGAAUGUUAAACCAGAUGGCCCUUUUAGUCAGUUCCUUAGAGUUAAGAGAUGCCUCAUUUUGAAGAAGCUGAGAUCCCCAGGCUUAAGGAAGUGAAUCAGGCCUUACUCACAAGCAAUAAAAGGACAUGAUAUGCUAGUGGAACCAGCAAAAGUUCACUCUCUGGAGUUGCUCCACUUGAAGCAGUAAUAUUUGAUAUUGAUGGAACGCUGUGUGAUUCGGAUCCAAUUCAUUACUAUGCCUUCCGUGAAAUGCUACAAGAGAUAGGUUUCAACGGAGGUGUUCCGAUUACUGAGGAGUACUAUAUUGAGAAUUUCGCUGGGAAGCAUAAUGAUGAUGUUGCCAGGAUACUCUUUCCUGAUGACUUCGAAAGAGGCUUAAAGUUCACAGAAGACAAGGAAGCCAUGUUUCGCAGAUUGGCUGUAUAUAAAUUGAAGCCCGUGAAUGGUCUCUAUAAAGUGAAGAAAUGGAUUGAAGAUCGUGGGUUGAAAUGGAGAAAAUCCAUGACCUCAUUGGAACUCAUACUGUUCCCGCACCUGAUAUGGGCACCAAUGCUCAGACCAUGCUUAAAUAUCUAUUUUUAGACGUUCAAUUUCUCCAUUUAUUAUCCAGUACUUUUACAAAUUUUAAAUCUAGGAUUUUUUUUCACUUAGUUAUUUGAUGGUUUGAAAUUUAUGAAUACAGGUUUGUGUUUUUUUGUCCAAAUACUAUUUCAAAGCUGAAGGAAACAUUGUUCAUGAAUAGCACAUUGUCUACAAAGACGACAUAGAAGACAUUUUACUUCAUGUGAAAAAGAAAGGCACUGCGUUUGCUUAUGGGCAGACCAGUAGUGGGAAGACUUUUACCAUGAACGGUUCCGAAACAGACCGGGUAUCAUUUAUUGAGCCGUUAGAGAUGUUUUUGACAGAACUCAGAUGAGGAGACAUUGUUGGCGAUAUCAAAGCUUCUCAAGGAAUUGACCGAGGAGGACAUGAAAGUACAGAUUUGGAUUUCAUCAGCACGACCAAGAUCAUGAGCAUUUUGAUUGUCUGCAGCUCUCAGUUCUUGGUCUCCACAAUGGUUCAGGUUGUCGGCAUUAUUCCUUCCUUGCACGCAGCUACUAAAAUUUCCGGUAGUGCCCAAGGUAUAGUGACAGUUGCCAGUAGAUGGCAUGCGUUAAUGACAUGUAGUUCUAAUGAUUCACCGCAUAACAGAAGUUCAGACAGUUUGGUGAACUUUGAGGCUGCCAACAGAUUGAGCUCACUGCAUACAUGUUACUCUGAGAGUGAUUUGGAGUCAACGGAUUAUGUUCAUGUGCCUACAAAUUCCCAGAUGGCUUCACAUAUGGCUUCAUACCACAAGAGACAAGCUUUUGGUAUGCAUCAGCUUAUGCUGUUUCAGUUUUACCCGUUCAUAUUAAACCUUAAAUUUCAAGCAUUCUGUUUACCAUUUUUGUGUUUGUAAAGAUGGCUCUUUUGGUCGUCAUUUAUGGUUUUCGUUUGUUCAUUUCCCGUGGUUCAGUCUUACUGGUUGUUGAUUGUGGCUCAUACUCUAUUUAUAUUUCUCUGUAAACUGCUAAUUUUGGAAUAUACUAUCGUUUCCUUGCUAGUA